rnacentral:rRNA from 1 species
GACGAACGCUGGCGGCGUGCCUAACACAUGCAAGUCGAACGGAAAGGCCCUGCUUUUGUGGGGUGCUCGAGUGGCGAACGGGGGAGUAACACGUGAGUAACCUGCCCUUGACUUUGGGAUAACAUCAGGAAACUGGGGCUAAUACCGGAUAGGAGCUCCUGCUGCAUGGUGGGGGUUGGAAAGUUUCGGCGGUUGGGGAUGGACUCGCGGCUUAUCAGCUUGUUGGUGGGGUAGUGGCGUACCAAGGCUUUGACGGGUAGCCGGCCUGAGAGGGUGACCGGCCACAUUGGGCCUGCGAGACGGCCCAGUCUCCAACGGGCGGCAGCAGUGGGGAAUAUUGCGCAGUGGGCGGGAGCCUGAUGUGGCGGCGCCGCGUGCGUGAUGCCGGCCUUCGAGUUGUAAACCGCUUUCGCCUGUGACGAAGCGUGAGUGACGGUAAUGGGUAAAGAAGCACCGGCUAACUACGUG